UCACAGUCUGAGCUGGAGACACUGGUCUGUCCCUGAAGCCCAGGAGGCUGCAGAGACUGACCCUGUGGCCAGGGGCACAUGCUGCUUCUCAGCGAUCCAGGCUUGGCUGUGAAGCCACAGCUGGCCCUUCCAGUUCCUCCUUCUGCUGGGCUCGAUUUCUCACCUCUGACCUUUACGACCCCAGCGUGGAGUGGGGGGUAGGGACUAAGGAGAAAAUCACACACUUAUGUACUCCUUCCUCUCCACUACCAUAUUACAUAUAAUUAAACACGGAGAGCACCUGAAUAGAGAUGCCAAAUUGCAGUUUGCAGUAAACAUCAUGGAGCCAAUUUUCCUAAAGUGGAAUUGACAAGUCCCUUCCACUCACUCACUCACUUACUCACUCACUCCCUCCUCAUUCACUCACUCACUUUCUGUCUCUCUCCCCUUCUCUCUGCUCCAUUCCAGUGCCCGGAAGGAGGGGGUAUCUUGCUCCCAGUAAAUUUGCAACCCCUCUCUGGCCUGUCUGCAAAGGCUCUGGCCCCAGCAUCCAUCCAUCCACAGCUGGUGGCUGUGGCCGCCUUUGGAAGGCAGUUUCCCGUGUUGUCCAGGCUGGUCUCAAACUCCUGAGCUCAAGUGAUCCUCCCGCCUCAGCUUCCCAAAGUGCUAGGAUUACAAGCAUGAGCCACCGUGCCUAGCUCCAGAGUGAUCGUUCUAAACUACAAAUCAGAUCAGGCCACCUCCCUACUUAAGUUCCUCCAAGAGUUCCUCCAACAGUUUGUGGCCUUUAUCAAAGCGUUAAGGGCUGAGGCCUUUCACGACCUGGUUCCUGGAGGAAACGCCAUGCCGCCCCCAGCCUGGACCACUUGCAGCUCCCAGACAGGGAGCCCCUGCUUCCUCUCAUCCUCAGGUAGCUAGUAGGAGCCACUCUGUCUGCCAGGGUCUCUCUUUCUUCCCCUUCUUUGCCAGGCCAAUCCAGCCUGCAGGUUUAAGCUGGACGUGCUUCCUCCAGAGAGCCCUCCCUGCCUCCUCCACUGGAAUGGGGUUCCUCCUCUGGACUUCCCCUGCACUCUCUUUCAGUCUCUUUUCUUUUCUUUUUCUUUUUUUUUUUUAGACGGAGUCUCACUCUGUCGCCCAGGCUGGAGUGCAGUGGCGCGAUCUCGGCUCACUGCAAGCUCUGCCUCCCGGGUUCAUGCCAUUCUCCUGCCUCAGCCUCCCGAGUAGCUGGGACUACAGGGACCCGCCACCAGGCCCGGCUAAUUUUUUUUUUUUUGUAUUUUUAGUAGAGAUGGGGUUUCACCAUGUUAGCCAGGAUGAUCUCGAUCUCCUGACCUCGUGAUCCGCCUGCCUUGGCCUCCCAAAGUGCUGGGAUUACAGGCGUGAGUCACCGUGCCUGGCUUCUUUCAGUCUCUUUUCUACAGACUGUGAUUGCACGUCUGACUUGUCUCCCCAGCC
rnacentral:lncRNA from 10 species